UACGUAGGGGGCGAGCGUUGUCCGAAGUUACUGGGCGUAAAGCGCGCGUAGGCGGGAAAUUAAGUGAGAAGUGAAAGGCUGGGGCUCAACCUCAUGCAGUGCUUCUCAUACUGGUUUUCUUGAGGGCGGUAGAGAAAAGUGGAAUGGCUGGUGUAGCGGUGAAAUGCGUAGAUAUCUGGAGGAACACCGGUGGCGAAGGCGGCAUCCUGGACCGGUAUUGACGCUGAGGCGCGAAAGCUAGGGGAGCAA
rnacentral:rRNA from 1 species